UGCGCAGGCGGCUGAGUGUGUCAGGUGUGAAGGCCCGAGGCUUAACCUCGGAAUUGCGCCUGAAACUGCUCGGCUAGAGGACUGGAGAGGGUAGCGGAAUUCACGGUGUAGCAGUGAAAUGCGUAGAUAUCGUGAGGAACACCAGAGGCGAAGGCGGCUACCUGGACAGUACCUGACGCUCAGGCACGAAAGCGUGGGGAGCAAAAGGGAUUAGAUACCCCUGUAGUCCACGCCCUAAACGGUGCACACUAGGUCUUGGCGGAUUCGACCCCUCCAGGGCCCAAGCUAACGCGUUAAGUGUGCCGCCUGAGGACUACGGCCGCAAGGCUAAA
rnacentral:rRNA from 1 species